rnacentral:sRNA from 1 species
GACUAGCCCUGAUGGCAGCGGCAUCCUUUUGUGGAUCCCUAUUUUUCAUCGGGAGGAACAAAAAAUAAAGCGUACAGCAGGAACAAGG